rnacentral:rRNA from 1 species
UACAGAGGGGGCAAGCGUUGUUCGGAAUUACUGGGCGUAAAGGGCGCGUAGGCGGCCUUCUAAGUCGAACGUGAAAUCCCCGGGCUCAACCCGGGAACUGCGUCCGAUACUGGAUGGCUUGAGUUUGGGAGAGGGAUGCGGAAUUCCAGGUGUAGCGGUGAAAUGCGUAGAUAUCUGGAGGAACACCGUUGGCGAAGGCGGCAUCCUGGACCAACACUGACACUGAGGAGCGAAAGCCAGGGGAGCAAACGGG